CUUCGAAAGAUUUGUAGUUGAUUCUAUGGAAAUUCUCGUUGCUAUUUGGCGAAUAGUUCGGAGGAAUACAACAAUCUUUGGGCAUUUAUCGCAGUAUUCCGACGACAGGCCGUUUAAUUGACACUGGAGAAAGAUUUAUAAAGCCUGGAGUGAAUUAUUUUGAGCGAACGGAAAGAUGAAAAGAACUGGCUCAAAACGACAAAAAUCAGGGGUGGUUAAGAUUGGACGAGCAACUGGCCGGGUAAAAUGCUUCAUUCGUGUACGUCCUAUGAAUGAUAGCGAAUUGGAAAGAGAAGAUGAAAAUGCAGUGGAAGUCUCAGCAGAUAAAAAAGAGGUUCUGGUCAAUGACACUAGAGUUGGUUUGGAUAAAACCUAUCAGUUCGAUCAUGUGUUCCCUCCAAAAACCACCAACCCACAGAUUUCGAAUUUUAUCAGCAAACCACUCGUGAAUGCGGCGUUAAACGGAUUUAAUGGAACCGUGAUGGCGUAUGGUCAAACUGGAUCAGGUAAAACCUACACCCUGAUGUCACCGGACGGAGUUGCGGCCACCAUUAUCGAAAAAAGCUUUCGAAAAAUGGCAUCUCAUGAGAAUCUACAAUAUAAAGUUUCGAUGUCGUACCUACAAAUUUAUCAAGAGAAAAUUUACGAUCUUCUAAACAAUGCUGCUUCAAGUAAAAUCGACUUGACCAUACGAGAACAUCCCCAGAAAGGAAUUUAUGUAGAAAAUCUUUCGGAAUAUGUCGUGCGUGGACCGGCGGAAGUUUACUCGCUCAUGGAAUUGGGGAAAAAGAGGUUGAUCUUUGCGGAGACGAAAAUGAAUCGGACCUCAAGCAGGUCGCAUUCCGUUUGCAUAUUAUCAAUUGAACGAAGCUCAAAGCACUCAGACAACGCCAAAACCUCUUCAACUUCUGGGAAGAAACAGUUUGACAAGAAACUCCAUGCAACUCUACUCUCUGAAGGUGUUGAAAGUCCUGCAAAAAUGGAUUUAUCGAAAUCAGUUCUAUCGGACGAGCAAUAUUCAAGUGAAAGUGACGAGGAAGACGAUGCCUUGACGAAAAUGAUGGCUUUCAAUGAAGAUGUUGUGCUUAAAGGACAUUUAUACAUCUGCGAUUUAGCAGGAAGUGAACGCAUAAAGAAAACAAACGCUGAAGGAGAAAGGCUGAGCGAAGCCCAACACAUCAAUUUUUCUUUACUGGAGCUCGGGAAUGUAAUUCAAGCUUUGGCCGAAAGUGCCGACACUGGUCGCGCCGGACAUAUUCCAUUCAGAAAUUCUACUUUGACAAGACUUCUGCAAGAAAGUUUAGGUGGCAAUUGCAAAACUAGCCUUAUCGUUUGUUGCUCCCCUUCAGAUAAUCACGUUCACGAGACAAAAUGCUCCUUGAAUUUUGGAUCCAGAGCGAUGAAAGUCAGAAAUACAGCUUAUGUAAACGUUGAGAUGGAUUACAAAAAGUUAAGCGACGAUUUGGCAAAACUUCUGGACGCCAAAGAUAAAGAAAUUGAGGAAUUAAAACUGAGCCAAAAACGUCAGCUGGAGUUGUCGAAAAAGGACGCCGAAUUGGCGGCUGAAAUGAAAUUUGGCGACGGUUUGAGCGAGGCAAGAAAAGCGUAUGCAGCUUUGAAGCAUUUAUUGGAUUCACAGGCAAGUGCUCAUGCGGAAAGCAUGGCAAAGCUACAGGCUGAACUUUCCCGCGAAAAGGACGCGAGACUUGCUCUUGAAGAGGAACUACAAAACAAACGUCAUUCGUCCAACGACAAACACAGCAGCACCAAAUCACUUCUCCUAACGGAAGUUUUAUCGAUGCAGUUAUAUUACGCCAUCGAAUGCACAGCCUGUCGUUCUGCGGAACUUAUGGAACAAGCAUCCAAGGAACUUUCGAGCGAAGAUGUCGCGAAAACUCAGGAGGAAAUACUUGAGAACGUCGACAAUCUUAUCGGAGUGUUAGGGACUUACUUAAACUUGACGGAAAGGGAGUUUUCUGAGGCGAGAAACGAGGAUUAUGUCAGCGACGAGGACAUAGAGUUUUCUGAAAAUGAUUUUGAAGGUAGGGUCGGAAGUUUGGAGACGCUCGUGGUUAAGAUUCGAAAACGACUGAAAGUUCUCAAAGAUAGCGUGGACGGCAGGACUUUGAGGUUUUUGAAUAAAGUCAUCGAAAAGCAAGAUCGUUCGUCAAUGGAAAACAUGAAGGAUGUCUAUCAUGUCCUACAAAAACUACUGGAAGCAAGAGAAGACUCGUCAGAUCCAGAAUUCUUGGGAAAUUCCCAGGAUGCAGAGCGAUGCCUUACGUACGUUUUGUUGGACAAAGCUCUGUUGUGUUGCCUGGUUGUUUUGGAACGAAAAACAUCGGAUAAAAAGCUUGUUGAACUUGGCAGAAAAUACGAAACGACUGUUCAAGAACUUGAGGUAAUCCGGCACAAGAAUAAGUCUUUGAAAAACGACAACGAAAGAUUGGUCGACAAACUCCGAGAACGCCGGGGCGAUACGAAUGUUCCCGACAGCCAGUCGGUCGAAGCGCUGUUGAUUCGAAAUUCGGGACUCAUGCUCGAGGUCAAGACCCUCCGAAAGAAGCUGGGGUCGAAAUGGAACGGCGGCGCGGGAACUGGAAACGACAUAGAGAUGGCGUACUGGCGUGAGCGAGUCGGCAAGUUGACAAAGGAGAAUGAGAAAUUAGAAUUCAUGAUGAAAGUGAUGGGAGAUAGAUUCAGCCAGGAUGAAGUGGUUAGGAAGCCAACAAGAGAGGCAUACACUCAGGUUUCCUCGAUUGAAGAAGAACCAAUCUCCCUGAAAGAAAGCAACAACAGUGCGACUCAAGGCGACGAUCCAAAAUCCGGGAAACUUAUUUCCACCUACGACAGCGAGACGAUAACGACGUCAUCUAGUACCAGGCCACCCGCGACCGUGCCCGGAGAACCAGAAGUCGAGAAGGUGAUAUCGUUCACUAGUGCCAAUCCAUCGGAUUCCAAAGACGACAGGAGAACGUCCGUAAGCAAGAUUGAGAAAGAAGAGUUCCGAGAACAUUUGCUAAAGAGCAAAAUGGAGUCGGAGAAAACGUUGAAGCAUCUUUUUGAGAUAAAGGUAGAUGAAACGUUGGAAUUCUUAGACAAAAAUUCGGAUAAAUCCAAGAAAUUAAACCGACUGGUCGACAGCGCCAUUGACAGCGCUGAACACACGAAUAUGAACGCGGAACUCAUCUUAACCAGUUCCAUGGAUGAUAUAGAAGCUCUGGAACGCGACAUCAGUGCGAUAAAGGUGAAUAACGAAGCGCUUGGACGACAAUGCUUGUCGCUCGUGAAAGAUCGCGCCACACUCGAAACGCUUUUGACUGACCUGCAUGGAGACAUCGCUGGCUUGCAGGAAAAAGUAGCACAGAAGAACACCUCAAAGAUUUCAGACUUUCCUACGGUGAAGAAGCAAGCUGGGUCGACGCAGGCUGAUGCUGAGAUAAAAACAGACGUUUACCGUAUAAAAACUACAUCAACAUCUCCGCCAUCAAUUCAAGUGCAAUCUUGGGAAACUGAAUCCGUAAAGAAAGUCAAUUUAAACGCAAAAACCCAGGAGUUCGAGACAAGAGAUUGUCAAACGGACGUGAGUUUUGUCACGGACAGUUCCAAUGAAUCUGGAGAAAGCGACGGACCCGAGGAUCAAUCUGGAGAUGCCAUCAAAACGGAUCUCGUUGUCGAAAAGCUUAGCAAAAAGUAUUCCUUGGUGAAACAACUUGUGAAGCACUUGGAAGGGGAGGUGAGGAAUUUCAAGAUAAAAACAACGGCUCUUGAAACUGAACUUAAAGAAAGACAACAUUUGAAAGACGAGAACAAACUGCUUGAGGAAGAGGUGAAGGAGUUACAAGGUUUAAAGAUUUACUUGGAAUCGCAGCUCGCCGAAGGAGAUAGUGCCGAGAAACCUGACAACUUUGGGGCAGUCGAAGAAGAGAGUAAUCUUAAAAAGUGGAAAAACUUUGGCAACGAGUCGUUCUCAGACCUCUCGUCGACCGGUCAUCUCUCGAGCAGUUCGCUGAACCUUACGUCAUUGCCAAGUUACACACCGCACUACCAAAGUAUGUCUCGAUCCAUGAUGGACCUCAGCGAACCACAGAUGUACACAAGCUUCAGCUCGUUGCGUUCUUCGCGUGGAAGUUUUGGUUCCCUGAAAAUGUUGAAGCUCGAAAUGGAAGGGAAACCUAGCCGCAUACGGGACAAGUUGAAAAGCGCUUCGCUUCUUUUGCAACACACCGGAUCCCUUGAAUCCCAGCUCAAAGCAUCCAGGCAAAAGUGUUUUAGGCUCGAAGGCGAAGUCUGUAAACUUGUGAAAGAGAAGAAAGAGAUAUCUGAAGAGUUGGAUAAAGUCAAGGCAAGAUUAAGAGCCGACGAAUCUGCCCAGGAUGUCGAAGUUGUUGACAAAGAAAAAUUGACAGACGCAUCUCUUUCUACGAGUUUAAAACCGAAACGGCGUUCGUUCAAAUUGCAUCGGGGCAAGGAAGAAAAGGAUAGGUUAAAAAAUGAACUAACUUUAGCAAGGGAACAAUUGACAAAGUUGAAAUCCCAGUUGGAAAUGGCGAAUACUUCGGUCAACGAUUCCGCGCCCGAUCGACGGCCGGGUUACUCCGAGCUUAGUGAGGACGAAAAAAGGCGGGAAAAGGAGCUGGCGUUGACACGUGAACGCUGCCUGAUUCUCGCAGAGGAACUGGGUGCCAGUAACAAGGAGAAGAUCAAGCUUGCCGAUGAUCUUCAAGAAGCAGUCGAGAAUAUAGAGGUGCUCGCAAACGAAGUGAAGAGAUUUGAAGGAUUGGAAGAAGAGAAGUUUCAAUUGCAGAAACGGGUUGAGGAAUUUGACAAGGAGACUGGGGUGAGACUGAGCGAAGUGCGUGCCAACGGUGAGAAUUUGGUCGAACUUCGGUCCGAAGUUGCGUCGCUUCUCGAGGAAAAGGCGAAUCUCGAGGAUUCCAUCUCGGAACUGAAAUGGGAGAAGGAACGUUUGAAUGAGAUGGAGAAUAUCGUGAAACGACUCGUUCAGGUCGAAAGGGAAAAGGGCCAUUUGGAGCAAGGAGAAAUAGAUUACGAGGUCUCCCAGGAAUGUGUCGAGUUGAUGAAGUUGCGUAAAGAUAACGAGGAUUUAAGAGAACAGCUUGCAAGCUUAAACGAAGCGAUGAUGGAGAGAGAUAUAGAGUUUGACAAAGGAAGCAAAAAUACACCUCUCACCCAGGUUCUUAGCGCUGUGAAAGAUGGCGGUCGAGAAGAAGGGAUAAACAAGGAUACGGAAGGGGUGAUACGGGAUCCAGAGGAGUAUCCGGUGGUAGCUGGGAACGCGGGCGCUCCGAGCCGACAAAGACACGUGCUGCGUUGAGUGAUCGAGAAGAUACACACGGACACAGAGAGCAGAGGAAUGAAUCCGAGAAAAAGUCAAAAAAACAAAGUGCUGGCAAGUCUAUUGAAACAUUAGCAAAGGUAAUUAGGUUAUCUAAAAUUUCGUAGGAGAACUACAUAAAGGCUUGGCUGAGGGACAUGCAACAAUAUAUCAAGACUAUAGAAUGUGAGAGUUUUUCUAGAUUAUAGUGCCAUAAUUGUUGCAACGCAGGGUAAAAUUUACUUUGCUAUCCAAGAUGCAAUUUGGAAUGCAACUUCCCUCUUCGACAUUGGCUAAAGCAAGUCAAAAUCCUUAAACAUUGAUGCAAAUAUUCAAUUAAUAGUAGGUUGAAUUGGAUUUCCAAAUCUAGAUACUAAAUAGAGCGAGCUAUAUGCAUGCAUAACAUAGUAAAUCCAAAUUGUAUAAUAUUUUAUAAUCAUUGAA